rnacentral:rRNA from 1 species
UACGUAGGGUGCAAGCGUUGUCCGGAAUUAUUGGGCGUAAAGAGCUCGUAGGCGGUCUGUCGCGUCGGCUGUGAAAUCCCGAGGCUCAACCUCGGGUCUGCAGUCGAUACGGGCAAACUAGAGUAUUGCAGGGGAGACUGGAAUUCCUGGUGUAGCGGUGAAAUGCGUAGAUAUCUGGAGGAACACCGGUGGCGAAGGCGGCGACCUGGGUCGAGACUGACGCUGAGGCGCGAAAGCGUGGGGAGCAAACAGG